AUUGAACGCUGGCGGAAUGCUUUACACAUGCAAGUCGAACGGCAGCACGGGGCAACCUGGUGGCGAGUGGCGAACGGGUGAGUAAUACAUCGGAACGUGCCCAAUCGUGGGGGAUAACGUAGCGAAAGUUACGCUAAUACCGCAUACGAUCUACGGAUGAAAGCGGGGGAUCGCAAGACCUCGCGCGAAUGGAGCGGCCGAUGUCAGAUUAGGUAGUUGGUGGGGUAAAGGCUCACCAAGCCGACGAUCUGUAGCUGGUCUGAGAGGACGACCAGCCAGACUGGAACUGAGACACGGCCCUGACUCCUACGGGAGGCAGCAGUGGGGAAUUUUGUGCAAUGGGCGCAAGCCUGAUCCAGCCAUUCCGCGUGCAGGAUGAAGGCCUUCGGGUUGUAAACUGCUUUUGUACGGAGCGAAAAGGCUCUCUCUAAUACAGGGGGCUCAUGACGGUACCGUAAGAAUAAGCACCGGCUAACUACGUGCCAGCCGCCGCUGUAACAC
rnacentral:rRNA from 1 species